rnacentral:rRNA from 1 species
AAGCAAGACAGUGAUGUGGAGCAAAUCCCUAAAAACGGUCUCAGUUCGGAUUGUAGGCUGCAACUCGCCUACAUGAAGUCGGAAUUGCUAGUAAUCGCGGAUCAGCAUGCCGCGGUGAAUACGUUCCCGGGCCUUGUACACACCGCCCGUCANACCAUGGAAGUUGGUAACACCCGAAGCCUGUAGCCUAACCGCAAGGAGGGCGCAGUCGAAGGUGGGGAUUGAUGACUGGGGUGAAGUCGUAACAAGGUAAC